rnacentral:rRNA from 1 species
AUUGAACGCUGGCGGCAUGCCUUACACAUGCAAGUCGAACGGCAGCGGACCUUCGGGUGCCGGCGAGUGGCGAACGGGUGAGUAAUAUAUCGGAACGUACCUUUCAGUGGGGGAUAACGUAGCGAAAGUUACGCUAAUACCGCAUAUUCUGUGAGCAGGAAAGCAGGGGAUCGCAAGACCUUGCGCUGAUUGAGCGGCCGAUAUCAGAUUAGCUAGUUGGUGAGGUAAAGGCUCACCAAGGCGACGAUCUGUAGCGGGUCCGAGAGGAUGAUCCGCCACACUGGAACUGAGACACGGUCCAGACUCCUACGGGAGGCAGCAGUGGGGAAUUUUGGACAAUGGGCGCAAGCCUGAUCCAGCCAUGCCGCGUGAGUGAAGAAGGCC